GUAGGUGAACCUGCGGAGGGAUCAUUACACAAAUAUGAAGGCGGGCUGGAACCUCUCGGGGUUACAGCCUUGCUGAAUUAUUCACCCUUGUCUUUUGCGUACUUCUUGUUUCCUUGGUGGGUUCGCCCACCACUAGGACAAACAUAAACCUUUUGUAAUUGCAAUCAGCGUCAGUAACAAAUUAAUAAUUACAACUUUCAACAACAGAUCUCUUGGUUCUGGCAUCGAUGAAGAACGCAGCGAAAUGCGAUAAGUAGUGUGAAUUGCAGAAUUCAGUGAAUCAUCGAAUCUUUGAACGCACAUUGCGCCCUUUGGUAUUCCAAAGGGCAUGCCUGUUCGAGCGUCAUUUGUACCCUCAAGCUUUGCUUGGUGUUGGGCGUCUUGUCUCUAGCUUUGCUGGAGACUCGCCUUAAAGUAAUUGGCAGCCGGCCUACUGGUUUCGGAGCGCAGCACAAGUCGCACUCUCUAUCAGCAAAGGUCUAGCAUCCAUUAAGCCUUUUUUUCAACUUUUGACCUCGGAUCAGGUAGGGAUACCCGCUGAACUUAAGC
rnacentral:rRNA from 1 species